rnacentral:tRNA from 1 species
GCCAGCAUGAUGUAGUGGUUUGAGUGUUCAACUGCAACUCUGGAGACCAGGGUUCGAUUCCCAGUUUGGCC